GAACACCAUGGCUACUACCCAGCAGAAGAGCAGCAAGGAGGAUGCUGAGGCCAAACAGGGCCAGGGGUUCCUCUACGUCAAGGUCAGCAUGGAUGGCGCGCCGUAUCUCAGGAAGAUUGACCUCAAGACUUACAAGAACUACAAGGACCUCUCCACUGCCCUUGAGAAGAUGUUCAGUGGCUUCAGUACUGGUGAGAUGUCUCGGGUUACUCUCCACUUUUACCAGACUCAGUAUGUAAUUGUGUUUCAUUUUGAUGUGGAUAGUGUUAGAAGCACAUCAUAGCAGCCUUAAAAAAUAUGCUUGGUUCCAAGAAUAAUCUUAGCUUACUGUUAUUAUUUCGAUAAGUUUUACUGAGGAUGACAAACAAUUCAGUGCGCCUUCUUUUGUUUUGUGUUCUUUGGUGAACUAUUUAUUCCUCACAAAAAAAUACCUUGCUGAUUGGUCAGUUAUUGCAUCCAUAUCAAGUCUCUGUUAGAAAGACAUUUUCUCUUGUAAGGCAUAAUAAAUUUUGGCUCCAUGUAUAUCAUUAUUCGAGGAUAUCUUUUAGUCCUGACUCCUGAGUGUUGGUCCAGAAAGCUACUAAUCGCUAUGAGAGUGACAUCUCUCGUAUAUUUCUGAAAUUUGGAGAUCUAUGAUCCAGUAUGUAUAUCUCAUUAGUUUUCCUCACUUUCUUAGAAUCAUAAAAAUGAAUAUAAGGUUAAGGUCCAAGUCUUUUCAGUAGAAAUUUUAGUACAAGAAGAGGUUCUCUUCUGUUUUCUUUUUAUUGGUCUUACAGGUUAGUAUGGGUGUAAUGCGAUAUCAGGCAAGGAUGGCUUAUCUGAGUACUGCAAGGAUGGUGAAUAUGUUCUGACUUAUGAAGACAAGGAUGGAGACUGGAUGCUUGUCGGCGACGUGCCAUGGGAGUAAGUACACUUAUCUUACUUAGAAUAAGGGAAAUGGAAGUUAAAUGAGUCAACAAUCUUAUUUUGUGGCACAUUUUUCUCAUUAUGCACAUAUUUAGACGCCACAUUUUCUUUCACUCCAAUUGCAGGAUGUUCGCUGACUCUUGCCGUAGGCUCAGGAUCAUGAAAGGUUCAGAUGCAAUUGGACUUGGUAAGUUUGUACUCCUAUUCUGUUUAGCAUAUUUUCAGGCUAAUCAUAUCGUCUUAGUUGGUUGGGUGGAUAUGGUGGGAUGGUCCAUGAUAUGAUGAUCCAAGUAGGUUGCAUGGUUGGUUGUACAUGAUAUGAUAUUUUGUUAGGAGUUCCUUACAAAAGUGACAUAAUUCAUGGUUCCUGCAUCAUUGGUGAUAGUUCUUUAGGGUAAUCAGUUUGCAAUUUUCAUUUACAUAGCGCUAAAAUGUAGGUUUACGAAAUCAGCAGCAUGGGAUGAACCAGAUAAUAUUGAAUUGCAGUUAAAAUCACAUGUAUGUAAAUAACUACUGCAAAAUAAUUAAAUAUAAAAACCAAAAUAUGCUCCUUCUACAAUGAGAUGCCUAGUUUCCUGAUUAGUACAGUAUUAACGCUGCAACCAAGUAUGUCAUUGUCAUUAUGAAGUGCACAUCAUCAUUGGGGAAAAAACAUGUAUCGAGUAUAUAUUGUACGUGUCAAAUUAAUAGUUAAUUGUCAAAAUCUGAAAAGAAUCAUAGUUGUCAUUUGCAUAUUAAAUAUUGUCAUAUGAUCUUCAGAGUUAAUUUAUUAAGUUUGGCUUCCAUUUUUUUCCUUUUCCCUGAAUAAUUUGUCUCUUAUUUGUUUUCCUUUUGCAGCUCCAAGGGCAGCUGAUAAGUCCAAGAACCGCAACUAGAAUGGUUGCUUCCUACAGUCCAGAGCAAGAGGAAGAUCCAACGACUGUAGGGCCCUUUAUGAAAAAACCAAAAAGUCUAACAGUUUUACGACGAAUUCUGCCUUAUGGUCUGUACUGCAUGGUUUGCUGUUACGCGAGU
rnacentral:lncRNA from 1 species